UAAGGAAUAUUGGUCAAUGGACGCAAGUCUGAACCAGCCAUGCCGCGUGAAGGAUGAAGGUCCUCUGGAUUGUAAACUUCUUUUAUCUGGGACGAAAACGGGAUUUUUAUCUCAAUUGACGGUACCAGAGGAAUAAGCACCGGCUAACUCCGUGCCAGCAGCCGCGGUAAUACGGAGGGUGCGAGCGUUAUCCGGAUUUACUGGGUUUAAAGGGUGCGUAGGUGGGCUUAUAAGUCAGUGGUGAAAUCUCCGAGCUUAACUUGGAAACUGCCGUUGAUACUAUAGCUCUUGAAUUAUCUGGAGGUAAGCGGAAUAUGUCAUGUAGCGGUGAAAUGCUUAGAUAUGACAUAGAACACCAAUUGCGAAGGCAGCUUACUACAUAUAAAUUGACGCUGAGGCACGAAAGCUUGGGGAUCAAACA
rnacentral:rRNA from 1 species